CCGCCAUAAAUAGCCUACUACGCUUCGUGGUUUACUUUAUUCCUUUUGCGAGUAGUGAACAUUCUGGAUCGUGCUCAACAUUUACAGCCAUUUUUGAAGAAAUUUUUUCACGUGCCAAGCUGUAAUUUCAAAUGGUGUUGAAAUGAAGUCAACUAUUUUUUAUGUAGACAAGUGCUUAAACGUCUGCAAAACAGUAGCAAUGUGUCGAAGAGGAGUGAAUUCAAUGACAUAGAAUAAAAAAUACUGUUAUAGAGCGAUUAGUGAAAUGAAACAAUGAUUUGGAAAUACGUCUGUGAAUUGUUACGCAGAAAAUUGUCGAUAAUCCAAAAUGGCCGGUGCCAAUCGAUUACUUUACGAUCACCAACUUAGAGUUUUCGUUACAAACAACAUAAAACUGAUGGGUUAGAAAACCAUAAAUGUGGUUAGAAUGUCGCCGAAAAGUUAACCGACAAAAUGGCAUUCAUCGAUCAACUGGAACGAUGACACUGUGGAUGACAUGGAACGGCUGAACACAAGGAGAUCAACACAACUUCAUCAGUUGACAGGUGCCGAUGAUUGUGACAACUGUCACAAUGCAAAAAAAGGGACCCGCCUACUGGGACGAAUUCUGUGAUUGAUACAAAUGUGGCUGAAGAGCAGACACAGCCGGAGUAUUUUUUAUGCAGUUGCAGAAAAGAAGUUUACUAGAUAAAAAAAAUUUAUUAACACGUGGAAUUGUGUUCAGUUAGGAUCAAAAAUGUAUUCUCGAAAAAUGUCAGAGUAUUAUGACGAUCAUAGGUAUAAGUCUCCAAAUGUAUUAGUAGAUUGUAGAACAAACGAUAAAUAUUGUGUAGAACUAAGAACUUACUUUAAAAUUACAGCUGUAUAAUAAUAUGAAAAUACUGACAAUAAAAACUAUCAAUUCAAAAGCAA